GGCCGCACAUACAUAACAGUUUGCACACACACACUAGCAUACAUCGCGCUAAUGUUGUUAGCGCUACUCUGACGAUUUUAUCAGUAAACAACUUAAAAAAUACAUGACUUCUCACAAGAGAGGUAACAACAACGGCGCGGUUCGUGAACAAAAGGAACUUCACUAUAACUAGAGACAUUGCUGCCGAACACUAUUGAGAGACACACAAAGGAGAGACCUGCAACCAGCCAAAAACCCUAGUAUCUGCAUAUCACUGCUGGCAACCGUUCACAAGACCCUAGUAUUGUGGUGGUUGCCACGAGCGGACAGUCCUCGAGACGGCAGCGGGGAGGCGCACAGGACAGCAGGCUGCAGCAGUGUGAACAGGCCUAGCCAGAGGUUCCCCAUGUCUGCUGUGAACUCAACUCUCUCACAGAAGGGUUUAUAUACAGG